GAUGAACGCUAGCUACAGGCUUAACACAUGCAAGUCGAGGGGCAACAUGGAGUCAGCUUGCUGACUUUGAUGGCGACCGGCGCACGGGUGAGUAACGCGUAUCCAACCUUCCCCCUACCAGAGGAUAGCCCGGCGAAAGUCGGAUUAAUUCCCUAUGUUGUUUGAUGCUGACAUCAAGAUCAAACCAAAGAUUCAUCGCUAAGGGAUGGGGAUGCGUCUGAUUAGAUAGUAGGCGGGGUAACGGCCCACCUAGUCAACGAUCAGUAGGGGUUCUGAGAGGAAGGUCCCCCACAUUGGAACUGAGACACGGUCCAAACUCC
rnacentral:rRNA from 1 species